AUAUAUAUAUAUAUAUAUAUUAAAAAAUGUAAUUACACAUUUUCUUUUCAACAUAUCACACACUUAAAUGUGUAUUCUCAGUUUUUCAAUUUUUUAUCUUAUACUUUAUGUAAAGUACUUUUUAUGCAAUGUUAGAAAGGAGAAAUGCUUUGGUUGUGUUUGAUUUCCCUCUCACUGUAUGUCCCUCAGAGGAUUCCGUAGCUGUUCAGUCUCUGUCAAUCGUUCCUUUUGCACUAUUCUUUGCACUGCCUUCUGGGUGUGUAGUGUAUCGAGGCUGUAGAGAGUGCAGAGUCCUUCAUUGAGUCUACAAUGAGUGGACUAGCUUUCUCUGAAGCUAGAAUUGCUUUUCCUUUUUUCUUUUUGGUAAUAACUCGAUACGUGUCGUUUUGAAUGUGCUUUAUUGUACAGCUAGAUGAUUAAUUCAUCAUGCUUUUGUGAUGAAUGUGCAGCCAAGUCAAACAGUAACAGCUUUCUGGUUUAUGUUUGCCAGAUUCUGAAAACAAUAAGACACAUAUACUCUGUGUAUAGACGAUACAAAUAUUACAUAUAAAUGACAUGGGAUAUAUGUGCAUAUGUAAGAUAUAAAACAAACCUCUGCAAUGCUGUUUUAGCUUUUACUGUCUAUGUGGAAGGAAGGAAUUGCAAAUAUGAUUGUUAUGUCUUUAUUGAUGUGCUUCUUUAUUAUUUGACAUUUUCUUUGGUGUAGACUGAAUCAGAAACGUCUGUCACUUUUUACUCGUAAUAAGCAAGAACUGGGGUACUGGAGGUAUGUAGUAUUACAUUGGGACGGUAAGGAAACAAUCUCAAUUGUACAAUGAUUAAGGAACACAAAAUUAAUUUGGAUAUGAACAGGAUAUUGAUAGCAUGAAUGGGACAUAAUAUUAUUGUGUCACGCAUCAAUAUGCUGUAGCAUCUAUUUAAGACUGGAUGUCUGUAGUCAAACCAAAUGAUUAAAUGUGUGCCUAUAAUGUAACAUAGUACUAAUCAUACAUCUUGUCUCUUGGAAUAGGUAGAAAUGACAUCUAACUGUAUACACACACUAUCCUUGCAGAACUAGAGAAGGAAAAUACAUACACAUAUCUACUCUAAAAACUUCUUCCAUCCAUUUCCAAAGCUUCUGUCGCUAAAGUAAACACAUGAUCACCAAUUUUUUAUCAACUGAAACUAUAGUUUGCUUUGUACAUAGUUGGCUCAGUAAGUGUGAUUACAACUCACAUAUCCCCCGUAUUUAUCAUUUAAGUUUUCUGUUUAAAAUGCCUUCUGAUUUUGUUCUUCCCCAUCUGUAGUUUGAUCCUAUUACUUGUAUGAUUGUAUAUGACAUGUUCAGACUGCACGUGUUCUAAUCAUCACGCUUCCAUUGAAGUGUCCCUGUGUGCAAAACUAGAAAACAUUAUUGCUAAAUGUUUUAUACAAGUACGUAUGUAGUAACCUAAUUAUUUCACGAAGGCUUGAAAUUGGCUGAUGACAUAUUGAAGGAAAAAGUUUAUUUUAAUCUAUACUUUUUUCUGUAUGUAUGGAGCACCCCAAAAAAACAUAAAACUCCUGAAGAUGUCAUAAAACAGUUAUCAGUUAAAGCAAAGUAACAUGCACUGUGCAAGGGACCAAGGUAGUCAAUAUAUUUGCUCUUGGGGGAUGCAGGUUAUGUUGUAAAAGUCCAAACAUGGAGGAAACACAUUUUUAAGGUGGCCUCUCUGCUCAAUGUAAUCCUAAUUGUAUUUAUGACUGACUUGUACAGACAUUUGUAAAAGUUAUUAUUACUGAGACAGUCCAUCGUUGCUUGUAAAAUCUUUGUUUCUUCAUUUACAGUAGUUAUAUCAACUCUAUAUGGCCGAUAUCUUACUGUUUUAGUAACCAAGGGUAGGAAAGUGUAAAACCACAGACAAAUACUUACGUGCAUUUCUGAUCUCCUCACUGUGACUUCCUUUAGUGUGUGAGAGAGAGAGAGAGAGAGAGAGACAAAGAGACAUAGAAUGUGUGUGCUUGCGUAUUUGUGAGGAAGAGAGAAAGAGUGUGUGUGUGUAAGAGAGAGAGAGAGAGAGAGAGAGAGAGAGAGAGAGAGAGAGAAAGUGUGUGUGCUUGUGUGUCUGAGAGAGAGAUAAAGAGAGAGAUUGUGUGUGUGUGUGAGCGAAAGAAAGAAAGAGAGAGUGUGUGUGUGUGUGUGAGCGAGAGAAAAAAAGAGAGAGUGUGUGUGUGUGUGUGUGAGCGAGAGAAAGAAAGAGAGAGAGUGUGUGUGUGUGUGUGUGAGCGAGAGAAAGAAAGAGAGAGUGUGUGUGUGUGUGAGCGAGAGAAAUAAAGAGAGAGUGUGUGUGUGUGUGAGCGAGAGAAAGAAAGAGAGAGUGUGUGUGUGUUCUUUUCCAUGCCGGCCGAGCGGCCUUGUGUGACACCAUGCUAUGUGACUGCACAGCCGUAUCAAUAAACCUGAAGUCAAAGGGCUCAGA